UGAGGUAUACGCAGAUGCAAUCAAUUUUUAAUUAUCCUUCGUUUACUACGUGUAGCUGAUAAUCGUCGACAUCUUGGAAGUACUUCUUUAUGCUUUUUAAAUACUCUUUUUUGCCGGGAGUAAGUUCUUUCAAAUUAUCAUUUUCUUCAUCUGAUGAACCAGUGUUGUUGUCAUUAUCAGAAGCUGUAUCCUUAUCUUGCGAAUGAUAUGUUUUCAAAAUUUUCUUUUCUUUUACACCUUUCCGUCGCUUUCGCAAGUUGAAUGCACUUUUCACCGGUGAUCUUGCAAUGCUGUCUGAAUAACUAGGGUCCUCAUCAGAAUGAAUGGCAGGUGGUGAAGAAGAUUUGGUUUCAUAUAGCCCAGAUAAAUCAAUGUCAUCAUCUCGCCGCCGUUUUUUUCUCAAACGCGUUAAAUGAUGCCCAUGUGGAACAGGUAUAAGUCGUUCAAGUUGCUUUGAAUCCAUUGGCUUUGAUGUGUUGCUCAGAUUGGACGGUGUGAUUUUUCUCUGCUGUAAAGAUGAAGUAGAAAGAAGAGAAAGAGGAAUAGGUGAAGAUGAUUCUGAGCCAUUAGGAGGCAGAAGCGGAGAGGAAGAAGGAGGUAGCUCUGGAGUUGAAGGAGAUGCAAUUGAGACAGUUGGUACAGACUGUUGAUUUUCAUCGGCAGAUCUUAUUUGGAGAGCUUCGUUAUAAUCAAUUUCACCUAUUUCUAAUGUAGGAGGCGAGGAGGGAAGAAUUCUGUUAUAUGACAUAUUAGAGGUUUCGUUGAAUCCCUUAGAAAGUGUAUUAACAAGAUCAUUGGAAUUAAUCGAAGAUAAACGAAUCCCUUUUGUUGAGCUGAAGCCAAACGGAUCAUCAUUACUUGAAGAAGGAGGCACAAUUUCAACGCUUUUGAAUCUGUGAGAUAACUUCUUAUUUUCUGGCGUCGAAGUCUCAAUUACAUGGGCAGUUUUAACAAAAGAAUCAUCGGAAUCCAUGUUAUAUUAUGAGAAAAUUCGAAUGAAUUAAGCCGCCAGAAGAGAUUUCAAUGCAUUUCACUUUUGUAUAUUGCGUACAGUUUUUACUGAAUCUUUGAUUCCAAUGUCAAGAUUAUACUGUUACCUACGUUACUUUGAAAAGAAAUGCAAGAAAUCCAUUGCAAAA